rnacentral:sRNA from 1 species
UCCUUCGAUGGUUCAAAAGACGCAGUUUC